rnacentral:tRNA from 2 species
GCCGGAGUGCUGGAAUUGGCAGACAGGCUAGGCUCAGAACCUAGUGUCCAGUAAUGGACGUGCGAGUUCAAAUCUCGCCUUCGGCACCA